ensembl:lncRNA
CCCCAGCAGUGGAAUAGCGGGGUCAAAUGGGAUUUUCAGUCCUAGUUCUUUGAGGUAUCUCCAUACUGAUUUCCACAGUGCUUACACCAGUCUACACUCCCACCAGCAGUGGAGCAGGGUUCCUCUUUCCCCACAGCCGUGCCAGCAUUUGUUAGUGGUUGAUUUCAUGAUAGGAGCCAUUCUUUCUGGAGUGAAGUGGAGUCUCAGCAUUGUUUUCAUUUGCAUCUCUCGAAUGACCAGUGAAGUUGAACAUUUUUUCAUGUAUUUAUUUGCUGUUUCUACUUCUUUGUCUGAGAAAUGUCUGUUCAUUUCAGAUGCCCAUUUUUGGAUUGGGUCUUUAAAUUUGGGAGGUCUGAUCUUUUUAAAUUCGAGAUAGUAGACCUUUGUCUGAGGAAGACCAGGUGAAGAUUUUUUUCCCACAUUGUGGGUUGUCUCUUCACACUGCUGGUGGUUUCUCUUGCUGUGCAGAAGCCUUUUAAUAAGAAGAGAUCCCACUUGUUGAUUGUUUGUGCUAGUUCAUGGGCAACUGAGGUUUUGUUCAUAAAAUCUUUUCCUACACUGAUGUCUUCAAGAGUUCUACCUAACCUCUGUUCCAACUGGUUCAGAGUUUCUAUUUUAGUAUUUAGAUCGUUAAUCCAUUUUGAUUUUAGUUUAGUGCAUGGCGAGAGAUAUAGGUCUAGUUUUAAUCUUUGGCAAGUUGAAGCCCAAUUUUUCCAGCACCAUUUAUUAAAGAGGCUAUCUUUCCUCCAGUGAGGGUGUUUGGCUCCUUUAUCGAAGAUGAGAUGGCUGAGUGUGUCUGGCGUUGUUUCUGCAUCUUCUAAUCUGUUCCACUGGUCCUCAAGUCUGUUUCUUUGCCAGUACCAUGCUGUUUUUAUCACAGUAGCUUUGUAGUAUAGUUGCAGGUUGGGGAUUGUGAUACCCCCCUGCCAUGUCUCUGUUACCUAGAAUUGCUUUUGCUAUUCUGGGUCUCUUCUUGUUCCAAAUGAAUUUUUGGAUUGUUUUCUCAAGGUCUAUGAAGUAUGCUGCUG